rnacentral:rRNA from 1 species
ACGGAGGAUGCGAGCGUUAUCCGGAUUUAUUGGGUUUAAAGGGUGCGUAGGUGGCUUAUUAAGUCAGCGGUGAAAGUUUGUGGCUCAACCAUAAAAUUGCCGUUGAAACUGGUUAGCUUGAGUAUAUUUGAGGUAGGCGGAAUGCGUGGUGUAGCGGUGAAAUGCAUAGAUAUCACGCAGAACUCCAAUUGCGAAGGCAGCUUACUAAACUAUAACUGACACUGAAGCACGAAAGCGUGGGGAUCAAACAG